UCUGUAUUCAGAAGGUCAGAUUACUCUGUGUGUGUCUCAUCCUGCACACAGAUGCGCAUUACUGUGACCGGCUGCAUAAACUCAUCACAAACGUCCGUGUACAAGAGACCUGGUGCAUGGAAAGAGCUUCAUUCUAAGAAAGGAAACCUUUGAGUCAGAGACGAGCGUCCUGUCAACAUGUUCAGCACCAAAAGACUAAAGAAGAAGUCCCAGUCGGAGGA